rnacentral:rRNA from 1 species
CCUACGGGUGGCUGCAGUGGGGAAUAUUGGACAAUGGGCGAAAGCCUGAUCCAGCCAUGCCGCGUGUGUGAAGAAGGCCUUCGGGUUGUAAAGCACUUUCAGUGGGGAAGAAAGCCUUGGGGCUAAUACCCUCGAGGAAGGACAUCACCCACAGAAGAAGCACCGGCUAACUCCGUGCCAGCAGCCGCGGUAAUACGGAGGGUGCGAGCGUUAAUCGGAAUUACUGGGCGUAAAGCGCGCGUAGGCGGUCUGAUAAGCCGGUUGUGAAAGCCCCGGGCUCAACCUGGGAACGGCAUCCGGAACUGUCAGGCUAGAGUGCAGGAGAGGAAGGUAGAAUUCCCGGUGUAGCGGUGAAAUGCGUAGAGAUCGGGAGGAAUACCAGUGGCGAAGGCGGCCUUCUGGACUGACACUGACGCUGAGGUGCGAAAGUGUGGGUAGCAAACAGGAUUAGAUACCCCGGUAGUC